CCUACGGGAGGCAGCAGUGGGGAAUAUUGCACAAUGGGGGAAACCCUGAUGCAGCAACGCCGCGUGAGUGAAGAAGUAUUUCGGUAUGUAAAGCUCUAUCAGCAGGGAAGAGAAUGACGGUACCUGACUAAGAAGCCCCGGCUAACUACGUGCCAGCAGCCGCGGUAAUACGUAGGGGGCGAGCGUUAUCCGGAUUUACUGGGUGUAAAGGGAGCGUAGACGGUUCUGCAAGUCUGAAGUGAAAGCCCGGGGCUUAACCGCGGAACGGCUUUGGAAACUGUGGAACUGGAGUGCGGGAGAGGCAAGCGGAAUUCCUAGUGUAGCAGUGAAAUGCGUAGAUAUUAGGAGGAACACCAGUGGCGAAGGCGGCUUGCUGGACAGUAACUGACGUUGAGGCUCGAAAGCGUGGGGAGCAAACAGGAUUAGAUACCCCGGUAGUC
rnacentral:rRNA from 1 species